UUGAUUUUUGCUUUUAAAAGGCAGAGAAAAAGUUAAAUGAAAAGCUAAACAAUAUGAAAAAGAGCUAAUAAAAGAGGGGCAUAUCAAACAUUGUAAUGCAAAGCAGGAAUAGAUAUUAACCAGCCUUUGGAGAAACAGCCUGAGAAGUUAGAUGCUGCUUCCUUUCCUGAAGCCCGAUCACCACGAGCCUGUUCCCCGUUGUCAUCCUUUCUUCUGCCCACCUGGACCUCUGCCAUCUCCAGCCAUGGCAACUGGAUUCCUUAACUUCUCCUGCUUGAUGAAACAGCUUGAGUAUGGACAAGUAGCAUUGACGGAUGUGUCAUCCACCCCCUUCUCAGCAGCCCAAUUCUUCUUGAGACUCAUACCUGUCCAGCUCUGCAAAUAGCCAAGACCUGGCUUGUUCCUCCAUCUGCCCUUGGUCCCAGCUUUCUACCCAUAAGACCUUGUGCUGGCACAGAGCUCCCCCUCCCUACACAGUUACUUGGAUACCAAUGUGAUAAGUGCAUCAACUGAACGAUGCUAAUAGACCCUAUGUAGACCUUAGUCCUUCUACCAUGGAAAACAUUUACUUUUGAGCAAGUCAGAGUCUCCAGUCUAUACCAUGGGCCAGAUUCACAGUCUACAUCCUCGGACCACAUCAUCAGUCACAGGAGACCCCACAAGAUCAGUGGUUCUCCAAGUAUGGUCCCCAGAACAGCAGCAUCAGCACUACUGGAGAGCAAGGCAACUCCUGGACCCGACCCAGAUCCACUGACUCAGUUCUGGGGGUGGAGACCAGCAUCUGUGUUUUCACAGCACUCUAGGUGAUCUGAUGCAUCCUAACAUGAGGCCAACACUGGAGUCAACCUCCACUCCAGUCUCUCCUCUCUCCUACCUGCAGGCAUAGAAGGGAUUUACCUUCUGAGAUGAAGAGAAGAAACUAGGCUCUUUUCGCAACAGCGAAAAAGUUGAAGUAACUGAAGUGUUCAUCAUCAGGUCAUAGAGAAAAAAAUUCUGCUGUAUCAGACCAAUAUUUAUAGUAAUGAAAUACUAACCACAAUAAAGAGGAAUAAACUACUGA